rnacentral:rRNA from 1 species
UACGUAGGGUGCAAGCGUUGUCCGGAAUUAUUGGGCGUAAAGAGCUCGUAGGCGGUCUGUCGCGUCUGCUGUGAAAACUCGGGGCUUAACCCCGGGCCUGCAGUGGGUACGGGCAGACUAGAGUGCGGUAGGGGAGACUGGAAUUCCUGGUGUAGCGGUGAAAUGCGCAGAUAUCAGGAGGAACACCCGUGGCGAAGGCGGCUCUCUGGGACGGUACUGACGCUGAGACGCGAAAGCGUGGGGAGCGAACAGG